rnacentral:rRNA from 1 species
UACAGAGGGUGCAAGCGUUGUUCGGAAUUACUGGGCGUAAAGCGCGUGUAGGCUGCGACGUAAGUCAGGUGUGAAAGCCCUCAGCUUAACUGAGGAAGUGCACUUGAUACUGCGUCGCUUGAGUGUCGGAGGGGGUGGCGGAAUUCCCGGUGUAGAGGUGAAAUUCGUAGAUAUCGGGAGGAACACCUGUGGCGAAGGCGGCGACCUGGGUCGAGACUGACGCUGAGGCGCGAAAGCGUGGGGAGCAAACAGG